rnacentral:rRNA from 1 species
AUAGCAAUAUGGAUGCUGGCGACCGGCAAACGGGUGCGGAACACGUACACAACCUUCCUUUAAGUGGGGAAUAGCCCGGGGAAACCCGGAUUAAUACCCCGUAACAUAAUGAAGUGGCAUCACUUUAUUAUUAUAGCUCCGGCGCUUAAUGAUGGGUGUGCGGCUGAUUAGGCAGUUGGCGGGGUAAUGGCCCACCAAACCUACGAUCAGUAACUGGUGUGAGAGCACGACCAGUCACACGGGCACUGAGACACGGGCCCGACUCCUACGGGAGGCAGCAGUAAGGAAUAUUGGUCAAUGGACGCAAGUCUGAACCAGCCAUGCCGCGUGAAGGAUGAAGGUCCUCUGGAUUGUAAACUUCUUUUAUUUGGGAAGAAAUUCCUGCAUUCUUGCAGGAUUGACGGUACCAAGUGAAUAAGCACCGGCUAACUCCGUGCCAGCAGCCGCGGUAAUACGGAGGGUGCAAGCGUUAUCCGGAUUCACUGGGUUUAAAGGGUGCGUAGGUGGGGUAGGUAAGUCCGUGGUGAAAUCCUGCAGCUUAACUGCAGAACUGCCGUGGAUACUAUUUAUCUUGAAUACCGUGGAGGUCAGCGGAAUAUGUCAUGUAGCGGUGAAAUGCUUAGAUAUGACAUAGAACACCAAUUGCGAAGGCAGCUGGUUACGCGGAUAUUGACACUGAUGCACGAAAGCGUGGGGAUCAAACAGGAUUAGAUACCCUGGUAGUCCACGCCCUAAACUAUGGAUACUCGACAUUUGCGAUAAACUGUAAGUGUCUGAGCGAAAGCAUUAAGUAUCCCACCUGGGAAGUACGAUCGC